AUGUUGAAACACCAGUCCCCGUACGAUCACUAAAGUUAAGCAACAUCAGGCCUGGUCAGUACCUAGAUGGGUGACUGCUUGGGAAAAUCCAAGUGCUGUAAG